rnacentral:tRNA from 1 species
GGCUUAAAAUCCGUUGACUUUUAAAAUCGUGAGGGUUCAAGUCCCUCUAUCCCCA